rnacentral:rRNA from 1 species
AAUGAACGCUGGCGGCAUGCCUAACACAUGCAAGUCGAACGAAGGCUUCGGCCUUAGUGGCGCACGGGUGCGUAACGCGUGGGAAUCUGCCCUCAGGUUCGGAAUAACAGCGAGAAAUUGCUGCUAAUACCGGAUGAUAUCGCGAGAUCAAAGAUUUAUCGCCUGAGGAUGAGACCGCGUAGGAUUAGCUAGUUGGUGUGGUAAAGGCGCACCAAGGCGACGAUCCUUAGCUGGUCUGCGAGGAUGAUCAGCCAGACUGGGACAGAGACACGGCCCAGACUCUUACGGGAGGCAGCAGUGGGGAAUAUUGGACAAUGGGCGAAAGCCUGAUCCAGCAAUGCCGCGUGAGUGAUGAAGGCCUUAGGGUUGUAAAGCUCUUUUACCCGGGAUGAUAAUGACAGUACCGGGAGAAUAAGCUCCGGCUAACUCCGUGCCAGCCGCCGCCGUAA